GGCCGCUUAGCUCAGCUGGUAGAGCACUCGGUUUACAUCCGAUAGGUCGGGGGUUCGAUCCCCUCAGCGGCCA
rnacentral:tRNA from 1 species